UACGGAGGGUGCGAACGUUAAUCGGAAUCACUGGGCGUAAAGCGCGCGUAGGCGGUCUGUUAAGUGGGAUGUGAAAUCCCCGGGCUUAACCUGGGAAUUGCACUUCAAACUGGCCGACUAGAGUACGGUAGAGGGAGGUAGAAUUUCCUGUGUAGCGGUGAAAUGCGUAGAUAUAGGAAGGAAUACCAGUGGCGAAGGCGGCCUCCUGGAUCGAUACUGACGCUGAGGCGCGAAAGCGUGGGGAGCAAACAGG
rnacentral:rRNA from 1 species